AUUGAACGCUGGCGGCAGGCCUAACACAUGCAAGUCGAACGAGUGGCGGACGGGUGAGUAAUGUCUGGGAAUCUGCCCGGUGGAGGGGGAACACCACUGGAAAGGGUCUAUAACCCCGUAUACUCUCGUGUGUGCACAGAUGGGAUUCGAUAGUAGGGGGGGUAAUGGCUCACCUAGGCGACGAUCCCUAGCUGGUCUGAGAGGAUGACCAGCCACACUGGAACUGAGACACGGUCCAGACGCCUACGGGAGGCAGCAGUGGGGAAUAUUGCACAAUGGGCGCAAGCCUGAUGCAGCCAUGCCGCGUGUAUGAAGAAGGCCUUCGGGUUGUAAAGUACUUUCAGCGAGGAGGCGUUACUCGCAGAAGAAGCACCGGCUAACUCCGUGCCAGCAGCCGCGGUAAUUC
rnacentral:rRNA from 1 species